rnacentral:rRNA from 1 species
UACGGAGGUGGCAAGCGUUACUCGGAUUUACUGGGUGUAAAGGGCACGUAGGCGGUCUCAUAAGCCCUGUUUGAAAUGGCUGGGCUCAACCUGGUCACGUGGCAGGGGACUGUGAGACUAGAGGGCGCGAGAGGCAGGCGGAAUUCCCGGUGUAAGGGUGAAAUCUGUAGAGAUCGGGAGGAACACCAGUGGCGAAAGCGGCCUGCUGGCGCGUUUCUGACGCUGAGGUGCGAAAGCUAGGGGAGCAAACAGG